UUUCAAGUAGGGAAAUUGAUCUGUGCAUC
rnacentral:piRNA from 1 species